AUGGCGGUCCGCGCUGCCUUCCGCGUCGCCGUGCGUCCUCGUCCUCGACGACCUGCAGCCUCCCGUUCCAACACCGGUGCAGCGCCUUGGCUUCCCUCUUUACAGCACUCAUGCGUACGCUCUAUCCAUCCCCAUGCAGCGCACGUUCCACCUACCCAUGCUCCGGUGGCACAGCAGCAGCGUCAUCGGCUCCAGCAGAGGCUACCUCACCAUCGCCAGUGCCAUCGACCGGCGUCGUCCUGGGGUCUUGUUACUGAACCCCGUCACCGGCGAGCAGAUCCAGCUCCUUCCUCUGCCUGA
rnacentral:rRNA from 1 species